GACGAACGCUGGCGGCGUGCUUAACACAUGCAAGUCGAACGGAAAGGCCUGCUUUCCCUUGUGGAUUGCGGGCACUCGAGUGGCGAACGGGUGAGUAACACGUGAGUGAUCUGCCCCCAACUUGGGUAUAAGCCUGGGAAACUGGGUCUAAUUCCCGAUAGGACUGCAGGGUGGUGCCUGUGGUGGGAAACGAUUUUCUAGUGGUUGGGGAUGAGCUCGCGGCCUAUCAGCUUGUUGGUGGGGUAAUGGCCUACCAAGGCGGCGACGGGUAGCCGGCCUGGGAGUGUGGACGGCCACAUUGGGGCUGAGAUACGGCCCAGACUCCUACGGGAGGCAGCAGUGGGGAAUAUUGCACAAUGGGCGGAAGCCUGAUGCAGCGACGCCGCGUGGGGGAUGACGGCCUUCGGGUUGUAAACUCCUUUCGACCGCGAGGAAGCCACCUGGUUGGAAGGGUGGUGACGGUAGUGGUAGAAGAAGCACCGGCUAACUACGUG
rnacentral:rRNA from 1 species